rnacentral:rRNA from 1 species
UACGAAGGGGGCUAGCGUUGCUCGGAAUGACUGGGCGUAAAGGGCGCGUAGGCGGCUUGCACCGUCAGAUGUGAAAUUCCUGGGCUUAACCUGGGGGGCUCAUUUGAUACGUGUGGGCUUGAGUGCGGAAGAGGGUCGUGGGAAUUCCCAGUGUAGAGGUGAAAUUCGUAGAUAUUGGGGAGGAACACCGGUGGCGAAGGCGGCCCCCUGGACCGGUACUGACGCUGAGGCGCGAAAGCGUGGGGAGCAAACGGG